rnacentral:SRP_RNA from 1 species
UGAUGAGCUAGUCCGGGUAGGUCGGCGUUACCUAUAACCCGAAAUCGCCGAUAAGCGGGGGACGAAGCCAGAGGAAGAUGCGCUAGAGAGAUUCUAGCCUGAAGUUUCAACUGAGAAGCCCCGUCCUGCUUGGAUGGUGCAGGUAUGCGGAUUUGCUGGAAAACAGGUUCUCAUGCCCUAACCGUGGAAACCGGUCGAGGCCCGGAAGGGAGCAGACUCACCGUGGGCAACCGUCGCUUGCGGGGUUGCGGGGUGGAGAAGAGACUUCGGUCAACUGGAGACUCCGAGGCACAGCGACCUGAGGCGCGCUCAUCA